rnacentral:rRNA from 1 species
GACGAACGCUGGCGGCGUGCUUAACACAUGCAAGUCGAACGCUGAAGCUCAGCUUUUGUUGGGUAGAUGAGUGGUGAACGGGUGAGUAACACGUGAGUAACCUGCCCCCUUCUUUGGGAUAACGCCCGGAAACGGGUGCUAAUACUGGAUAUUCACUGGUCUUCGCAUGGGGGUUGGUGGAAAGGGUUUUUCUGGUGGGGGAUGGGCUCGCGGCCUAUCAGCUUGUUGGUGGGGUGAUGGCCUACCAAGGCUUUGACGGGUAGCCGGCCUGAGAGGGUGACCGGUCACAUUGGGACUGAGAUACGGCCCAGACUCCUACGGGAGGCAGCAGUGGGGAAUAUUGCACAAUGGGCGCAAGCCUGAUGCAGCGACGCCGCGUGAGGGAUGGAGGCCUUCGGGUUGUGAACCUCUUUCGCUCAUGGUCAAGCCGCAACAAUGGUUGUGGUGAGGGUAGUGGGUAAAGAAGCGCCGGCUAACUACGUG